GCAUAUCAAUAAGCGGAGGAAAAGAAACCAACAGGGGUUGCCCUAGUAACGGCGAGUGAAGCGGCAACAGCUCAAAUUUGAAAGCUGGCCUUCGGGUCCGCAUUGUAAUUUGUAGAGGAUGCUUUGGGUGAAACGCCAGUCUAAGUUCCUUGGAACAGGACGUCAUAGAGGGUGAGAAUCCCGUAUGUGACUGGAAAUGUUAACCUAUGUAAAGCUCCUUCGACGAGUCGAGUUGUUUGGGAAUGCAGCUCUAAAUGGGAGGUAAAUUUCUUCUAAAGCUAAAUAUUGGCGAGAGACCGAUAGCGCACAAGUAGAGUGAUCGAAAGAUGAAAGGCACUUUGGAAAGAGAGUUAAAAAGCACGUGAAAUUGUUGAAAGGGAAGCGCUUGCAAUCAGACUUGUUUAAACUGUUCGGCCGGUCUUCUGACCGGUUUACUCAGUUUGGACAGGCCAGCAUCAGUUUCGGCGGCCGGAUAAAGGCUCUGGGAAUGUGGCCUUCACUUCGGUGAAGGUGUUAUAGCCCAGGGUGUAAUACGGCCAGCCGGGACUGAGGUCCGCGCUUCGGCUAGGAUGCUGGCGUAAUGGUUGUAAGCGACCCGUCUUGAAACACGGACC
rnacentral:rRNA from 1 species